UACGUAGGUGGCAAGCGUUGCCCGGAAUUAUUGGGCGUAAAGCGCGCGCAGGCGGUCCUUUAAGUCUGAUGUGAAAGCCCACGGCUCAACCGUGGAGGGUCAUUGGAAACUGGGGGACUUGAGUGCAGGAGAGAAGAGUGGAAUUCCACGUGUAGCGGUGAAAUGCGUAGAGAUGUGGAGGAACACCAGUGGCGAAGGCGACUCUUUGGCCUGUAACUGACGCUGAGGCGCGAAAGCGUGGGGAGCGAACAGG
rnacentral:rRNA from 1 species